GAUCUCUUCUGGAAAUUGUCUCUGCUGGAGUUUUGUGAGUGAGCCCAGGAUAGGGGGUAAUGUGUGUAUGGCAACUGUUGAGUCACAGCCUGAACCACUGAUUGAUUGCCUGAACGAAGCACUGAGUCUUCUGGAGAUCCCUCCUCUGUGGAGCCCUUCCCGUGAACCCAGGUCUUUGGAUGCAGUACGUGUGCUCUUCAAAUGUUGUUCACCAGAAAUCCCCUGGACACGUGCUAUUUGCAGGAGUUCGAGUGCUCUUUGACCACGUGGGACAUGAGGUGCAAG